rnacentral:rRNA from 1 species
GAUGAACGCUGGCGGCGUGCCUAAUACAUGCGAGUCGAGCGAACAGACGAGGAGCUUGCUCCUCUGACGUUAGCGGCGGACGGGUGAGUAACACGUGGAUAACCUACCUAUAAGACUGGGAUAACUUCGGGAAACCGGAGCUAAUACCGGAUAAUAUAUUGAACCGCAUGGUUCAAUAGUGAAAGACGGUUUUGCUGUCACUUAUAGAUGGAUCCGCGCCGCAUUAGCUAGUUGGUAAGGUAACGGCUUACCAAGGCAAUGAUGCGUAGCCGACCUGAGAGGGUGAUCGGCCACACUGGAACUGAGACACGGUCCAGACUCCUACGGGAGGCAGCAGUAGGGAAUCUUCCGCAAUGGGCGAAAGCCUGACGGAGCAACGCCGCGUGAGUGAUGAAGGUCUUCGGAUCGUAAAACUCUGUUAUUAGGGAAGAACAAAUGUGUAAGUAACUAUGCACGUCUUGACGGUACCUAAUCAGAAAGCCACGGCUAACUACGUG